GGAGCACGGGCCGGACAGCAUCUCCGCCUUCCUCCGCCCGCCGGAGCCCUUGCCUGUCCUGGCGAAGAAGACGACGUAUCUCCGCUCUGGUCAUCCACAUGGAUCAUGGGCCGGGCGGGGAGAUGGUAAUUGACCUCCAAUCGCCAUGCCCGUCCACUUCCCCUUUUCGCUCGAUUCCGUCAGUUAUGACUCGAUUCCUUCAAGGAGCAGGAGGAUGACGGUGAGGCGGAGCUCCUGGACUCACCGAGAUCGUGGGAGGAUGCUUAGAGGCGUCGGGGAAGCGCCGGAUUGAGGGAACCGACGGUGGCCCUGUUCAGCCGGAUGUGAAGACGAUUCGCUCUUUUUAGUCCCGGCUAGAUUCCAUAAAUAAUUAGGAGGAUGAUGUCGAGGCGGAGCUCCUGGACACGGCGGCCUGCCCCGAGAGGUUGAGCAGCGAGGGACCUCGUGAUGGUACAUCGGCGGACUGCAAGGGAGCUGGAGCUUGGAGGUGGUGCUGAGCAGAGGAAGACGGUUGUAUUGGUGCUGAGUUGCUCGCGUGAAGAGGAGUUUGGGAUGCUCGUCCGUGCAGAGAAGAUGGACAAAGCAAAGAGAUAUUUAAAUUUCUAGAUUGCUGAUGCAAACUGAAUUUUGGUGCUAUUGCUAACUAAAUGGUUGGACAUGGGCGGCGGCUGGACGGAACAUGAAGGGUGCGUCGACGGAGGAGGAGCGGUUGAAGACCUCUAGCGAGUCAGGCUGCAGAUGCUACUUGGUCCACCGAGGUGGAAGUCAUGGUCAACAUGAAUGAGCGACGGCGAGAGCGAUGAGAAAGAGGUGGUACCGUCCUAGGAGCUUUGCGACAAGGACAAAAUCAUGGCCUUCUUCAACAACCUGCUGAGCGAGUGGUGCCAACAGGUUGAUAAGAUGCAUGUUCGGUCAAGGGAAAGGCCGUCGUGACCACGUGUGCUCUUCAAGCUCCACAAGAAAAAGGUAUGAACCAUCUUCUACACUUGGACUUCUCUUCUUGUUUUUAAGAUUUGAAUCAAUCGGUGCUUAGGUUGCAACUUUUACUAAAGGAAAAAAACAUGAUGCAUCUACCCGUGUUAAUGCUAAUCUUUACUAUUAAGGUGAAACCUGUGAAUGGCUGGUGUCACACCCGAAAAAAUACAAACAAAUGCCACCGCACUAACUAACAAUCAAUAGUUCAGUUUUGUUGUUGAAAGGGCGUGAUACUUGGCGUAACUAUCCUGAUUAACAGGAAUCAAAUCCGAAAUUAUUCUCAAGAAAAAUAAACAAACAAACUCAAGAGUAAUACCGAAGGCAUGGGCACGCAAGCGUGGGUGAUGCGAUAUUACAUGUCAUUCCUAGGCAAGUUCUUGGCGGAGUACCUGUUAGUCUUCCUGGAGAUAGUGUUAGAGGAUGAGGUCCUGGAGUCCCGCGGAGCUCCCUCAUGGAUCUAAUGGAGUCAAACAAGAGCGUGAUGCUGGCGAGCAGGGCCGAUGAAGUUCUGCUCUGCCUUAAGAAAUAAUUUCCAGGCAUGCCUCCAUUUCCCACUAUGCUAUCGUGAGAAAUCUUUACUGCAGGAUGGUGAAAUUCUUAUCCCAAACUUCCGAAUCAAACAUAGCAUGCAUAUUCGUGUAAGCAUGUGGGAAGCACUUUAGUGUACAAUGAAAUUGAAUUUACCACUUAGUUUGUUGUUUCUACUUAAAGAAUCGGGGGCUUCCCUAAAAUAGGAAUAUAUCUGAAUCAUGUUUUAUAACUUGAGUUUUCUUGCAUGCAAGGGGAAAUCUUUGUGAUCUGAUUUUCUUUCUGAAUAAUCAAGUACGCCUUCUGUGCACUCAGAUUAUGUGCUUCAUUUCAAAACAUGCAAAACCCUUAUUUGAGUUCAUUGGUUUUACAUCAUUUCGGCUUGUACAUUUUUUUCAAUAGCUAAUAUUAGAACUCAACAUUCCCAAAUUGGUAUUAAUUCAAAGAUAUCCAAUUCUCUGCGAGAAUAAUCUUUCUUGUAUAUUAUUCCCAGAGGAGUCUUUGAUUAUUAGAAAUAGUUUGAGAUUGAUAAAUUUUAACAGUAUUGUUUACUAUAUUUCUUCAGUUCCACUUUCUUGUUCCCUCCACCUUUUUGAUGUCUAAUGAAAUAAAUGAAUAAUUAAAUAUCACUAAUUAUUUUUACAAAUAGGAUAACACUAGCACUAAAUACGCUCCUCAAUUAUUUGUCCUAAUUUGAAUCUAUACAUAAUUUGUGCUUAAAAUGUAAAUUCUCCAGAGAUAUCUCUCUUGGUAUUUAAGUUCAUACAAAGGAGAGUUUGAAUCGAGAAAAGAGUUUGGUGGAAAGGAGAAUACUAGGGAAGAGAUCAUCGGGAGCAUAAAGACAACAAAGAUGCAAGGGGUGGCUAAUUGGAUUUUUCUAUACCAAUUUUCUCGGGAUCAAGAACAAACCAAGCUCCUACCUUCACCAAAUGAAGGUAGUGAAGACUAUUGUGUUGUUGUUGUUGCAUCGGCGGAGAUGAGCCUCUCGAUGGAUGUCGGUAUAAUCAUCGUCUAGGUGAAUGGGAAGAAGGUUGUUGUCCGGGCAACGCCGUGGGCGUGAAACCGAAGUAGUGUUGUAGGGAACAUUCAAGAUAUCCGACGGAGGAGACGCAAAGGCGGAGUGGGGCGACAUGCUUCGAAGCUACUUGGACUCGUUCAGUACGUCUGUACGUCUUUGGUGCCUCCGUCUAGCGGUACUUCACAAAAUCAGAUGUUGCGGUCCAGAUACGGUUGUGAUACUGUUGUGGGGACGUGUGAUACGUCUCCGACGUAUCGAUAAUUUCUUAUGUUCUAUGCCACAUUAUUGAUGAUAUCUACAUGUUUUAUGCAUACUUUAUGUCAUAUUUAUGCGUUUUCCGGAACUAACCUAUUGACGAGAUGCCGAAGGGCCAGUUGCUGUUUUCUGUUGUUUUUGGUUUCAG